AGAGUUUGAUCAUGGCUCAGAAUUAACGCUGGCGGCAUGCCUAACACAUGCAAGUCGCACGAGAAAGCCCGGUUCGCCGGGCGAGUACAGUGGCGCACGGGUGAGUAACGCGUGGAUAAUCUACCUCUAUCUGGGGGAUAACGCACCGAAAGGUGCGCUAAUACCGCAUAAUCCGGCGGGCCUGCGGGUCGGUCGGCAAAGGUGGCCUCUUCUUGAAAGCUACCGGGUGGAGAUGAGUCCGCGUCCCAUUAGCUAGUUGGUAGGGUAACGGCCUACCAAGGCGACGAUGGGUAGCUGGUCUGAGAGGACGAUCAGCCACACUGGAACUGGAACACGGUCCAGACUCCUACGGGAGGCAGCAGUGAGGAAUAUUGCGCAAUGGGGGAAACCCUGACGCAGCGAUGCCGCGUGGGUGAAGAAGGCCUUCGGGUCGUAAAGCCCUGUCAAGCGGGAAGAACAGCGGCGGGACGAAUAAUCCCGUCGUGUGACGGUACCGCUGAAGGAAGCACCGGCUAACUCCGUGCCAGCAGCCGCGGUAAGACGGAGGGUGCGAGCGUUAUUCGGAAUUAUUGGGCGUAAAGAGCGUGUAGGCGGCCGGCCAAGCCAGAGGUGAAAGCCCAGGGCUUAACCCUGGAAGUGCCUUUGGAACUGGUUGGCUUGAGUUCGGGAGAGGGAAGUGGAAUUCCGGGUGUAGAGGUGAAAUUCGUAGAUAUCCGGAGGAACACCGGUGGCGAAGGCGACUUCCUGGACCGAAACUGACGCUGAG
rnacentral:rRNA from 1 species